UUGACCUCAAAUCAGGUAGGAUUACCCGCUGAA
rnacentral:rRNA from 3 species